ACAAACUUGGUCAUUUAGAGGAAGUAAAAGUCGUAACAAGGUUUCCGUAGGUGAACCUGCGGAAGGAUCAUUACCUUAUCUGGCCGCAAGGCCUUUCUGAAGCUCUGGCAUCAGCGCCGGGGGGACAGUUAACCCUUUGUGAAAAGCCCUUGUUGCUUCGGCAGCUCCCUCCCUCACGGGGGGUGGUUAGCCUGCCGACAGCACCCGGAAACGCAUUUUGCAACCGCCAUCCACGUCUGAACAGUACAGUCGAAUGACUCUUAAAACUUUCAACAACGGAUCUCUUGGUUCCCGCAUCGAUGAAGAACGCAGC
rnacentral:misc_RNA from 1 species